UAAUUUUAAUAGCAUAAGUCGGUUUUAGAAAUGACUUAUAAUGCUAUAUCAUAUGUCGGUUGGUAUUGGACACAUACCAUGUUAAAAUUAGCUUGAAAAAAAAAAGCACAAAUAAAAUUAAGUAUCCCGCGCUCUUCUCUUUCACGGUACACCCCCGCGAAAAAAAUUUCUUCUCGUCUUCUUCAUUCCGCCAGCAACCCAAACUGCAGCGACUCUCCCUCCUCAACUCCGGUCACUCAACUUCACCAGCAUACCAUUCGGCAAUAGCCCCUUCCGUUGUUCACCAGCGGUCUCUGGUCGUGGCAGCAUCUCUCACUGCGUUGUUCACCAGCGGUCUCCGGUCAGUUGAGGGAGUAGAGUCUACCGAAAAUGGUUGAUCUAUUGGACUUGCAUCAUUGCUAGUUAAGGAAGAAGUAACUGAGUUAAUCCCAUUAUUAACUGUUGUGGUCCCUACUGUAACAGACCUUGAAAUCAGUCCUUCAGACUCCAUGGCUUCCCUUGCUGCUUUCUCUUUGGCUCUUCUAGCUCUUUAAUUAAUAUUUAUAUGCUUACAUCAUAUGUAUAGCAUGUUGAAUUUGGACUGUUUUAUCACUUGAAUUUUGGUUUGGUUUUGUUUUAUGCGGAAGAGGAAGAAGAAAUUGAGAUGCUUUUGGAAAACUACCUCCAAAGACAAGACUUGAAGGUAUAACUGCAAGCAAGACUGAACAAUUUGCUGUCGUUCUGGAGGUUUUCAAAGUUGCGUCAGCUCUCUUCAUGGUAGAUGUUCGAAAAGCUGCUGGGGACACUCUUGAAUAUCACAAGGUUUUUGGUGGAAAUAUUAGCAAGGAUCAUUGCCAAGUGAAUUAAUUUGCUUGAUUAUUGUUAAUUGCAAGAGGAGGAUUUUAGUCCAAUUUUAGGGAAACCUCUGUCGAAUUUUUUCUAGGAAAUGGACAAGAGUUGGAUAACAAAGGACAGACUUUCAAAAGAGUAUGAAGAGGGAGUCGACAACUUUAUUAAGUUAGCGUUAGAAAAUACAACAGAUCCUUCCACCAAUGAAGGACUUCGUGACAAAUGAGUUUUCAAUGCGAUGGCUAACUAGUAAUUGUGGCGGGAAGAACUAUUACACAAAGGAUGAGAUCAAUGAAGUACGUGAAGCAUGGGCACAAUGCGUCAUGGAUUUGAUGAGUACUACAUAGGUCCACUCACUUUUGUUAACUUAGACUUUUAAUGAGAUAUACUUACAAUGUUAACUUAGACUUUCUUGAAGAUAUACACACUUUUGUUGCCUAACUAUAGUUUACAAUGCUUAUGUGAGUCAUUUUGUAAUUAACUCAAUACUCGUUAUUUUAGAUACUUAGUUCAAAUUCUAGUAUUUUAUAUUAUUGUGAUAUAUGUUUUGUUUUGUUCAGUUUGUUUGUAUAAAAAAACAUGAUUUG